UUAGUCCUACGGGGGGCAGCAGUAGGGAAUCUUCCACAAUGGGCGAAAGCCUGAUGGAGCAACGCCGCGUGGGUGAAGAAGGUUUUCGGAUCGUAAAACCCUGUUGUUAGAGAAGAAAGUGCGUGAGAGUAACUGUUAACGUUUCGACGGUAUCUAACCAGAAAGCCACGGAUAACUACGUGCCAGCAGCCGCGGUAAUACGUAGGUGGAAAGCGUUAUCCGGAUUUAUUGG
rnacentral:rRNA from 1 species